AUUGAACGCUGGCGGCAGGCCUAACACAUGCAAGUCGAGCGGAGCGGCGGACGGGUGAGUAAUGCCUAGGAAUCUGCCUGGUAGUGGGGGAUAACGUCCGGAAACGGGCGCUAAUACCGCAUACUAUCAGAUGAGCCUCGGUCGGAUGAGAUAGUUGGAGGGGUAAAGGCCUACCAAGGCGACGAUCCGUAACUGGUCUGAGAGGAUGAUCAGUCACACUGGAACUGAGACACGGCCCAGACUCCGACGGGAGGAAGCAGGGGGGAAUAUUGGACAAUGGGCGAAAGCCUGAUCCAGCCAUGCCGGGUGAAUGAAGAAGGCCUUCGGGUUGUAAAGUCCUUUCGGUAGCGAGGCGUUAACUACAGAAGAAGCACCGGCUAACUCCGUGCCAGCAGCCGCGGUAAUAC
rnacentral:rRNA from 1 species